rnacentral:rRNA from 1 species
AUGUUCUACCUAUUUCUCCAUGCAGGUCUGGGGAAGAGGAAGAAACAGAGCAAGAAAGAGAUCGCCACAAUGCCGAUGGAGCAGGCCUUCAUGCACUGCGACAAGGACACCCUCAAGAUGGCCAUGCUCAAGCAUGAAGAGACCUUCAGGCAGCAGGUUCACGAUCUCCAUCGCCUGUACAGAAUUCAGAAGCUUCUGAUGCGGGACCUCAAGAGGGAGAUCAAGAGCCAGCAGAGCGACCUGUCCGCCUCCCCCAACGGCUCCCCGGGCGCCGAGUACGACCACCGCCGCAGGGCGAGCGCGCUCGACGCGUCCUCCUACGAGCAGCACUGGCAGUACGGCGCCACCCGCCGCGGCAGCCACGCGGCGGCGACUCCGCGCGCCGCGCAGCUGAGCCCGGAGGCGACCGACGACGAGGAGGCGGAGCUGGAGCUCACGCUCGCCGUGGGCAGCGGCGGCAAGAAGCGGUACAGCGACGGGCACUGCUCCCCCGGGGAGAGCUUCUCGUCGUCCACGACGGAGUCGGACACGCUCACGGGCGGCCAGGAGUGGCAGCAGGCGCAGGCGCAGCACCAGCUGGUCGGCACUGGCGCAGGCGCGGGCUCGCCGUACCACAAGCGGAGGCCGGCAGGGUUCGGCGCGGAGCAGGCGGUGGACGGCGGGGUGCAGCAGCCUUCUCCGCUGCUGUUCCACUGGCUCAGCCUACGGAUGGCGUGA